AGAGUUUGAUCCUGGCUCAGGAUGAACGCUGGCGGCGUGCUUAAUACAUGCAAGUCGAACGAAUUGAAGAUGUGCUUGCACAUCUGAUGUUAGUGGCGAACGGGUGAGUAAUACAUAGGCAACUUGCCCCAAGGACUGGGAUAACACUUAGAAAUGAGUGCUAAUACCGGAUAGGUAAUACAAAGGCAUCUUAGUAUUAUUAAAGUUGGGUAUCCAACACCAUGGGAUGGGCUUAUGCUGUAUUAGCUAGUUGGUGAGAUAAAAGCCCACCAAGGCGAUGAUACAUAGCUGGUCUGAGAGGAUGAACAGCCACAUUGGGACUGAGACACGGCCCAGACUCCUACGGGAGGCAGCAGUAAGGAAUUUUCGGCAAUGGAGGAAACUCUGACCGAGCAACGCCGCGUGAGUGAUGAAGGCCUUCGGGUUGUAAAGCUCUGUUGUAAAGGAAGAAUGUAUAGAAAAGGAAAUGUUUCUAUAGUGACGGUACUUUACUAGAAAGUCACGGCUUACUACGUGCCAGCAGCCGCGGUAAUACGUAGGUGGCAAGCGUUAUCCGGAUUUAUUGGGCGUAAAGGGUGCGCAGGCGGAUUGUUAAGUUCGAGGUGAAAGCGUUGGGCUCAACCCAAUAUAGCCUUAAAUACUGGCAAUCUAGAGUGCAGAAGAGGGUAAUGGAAUUCCAUGUGUAGCGGUAAAAUGCGUAGAUAUAUUGGAGGAACACCAGCGGCGAAGGCGGUUACCUGGUCUGUAACUGACGCUCAGGCACGAAAGCGUGGGGAGCAAAUAAGGGUUAGAUACCCCUAGUAGUCCACGCCCUAAACGAUGAGUACUAGAAUGUUGGGAUUUUCCAGUGUCGCAGCUAACCGCAUUAAGUACUCCGCCUGGAGGAGUAUGCACCGCAAGUGUGAAACUUUAAAGGAAUUGACGGGGCCCCGCCAAACCGGGGGAAGUAAUGUGGGUUUAAUUCCACCCAACCGCGAAAAACCUUAACCAGGCCUUUGCAUUCCCUUGGAAAGUCUUUAAGAAUAAAAAAAAAAGGUUAUCAAAGGGGACAGGGGGUGCAUGGUUGUCGUCAGCUCGUGUCGUGAGAUGUUGGGUUAAGUCCCGCAACGAGCGCAACCCUUGUCUUCAGUUACCAUCAUUAAGUUGGGGACUCUGGAGAGACUGCCGGUGAUAAACCGGAGGAAGGUGGGGAUGACGUCAAAUCAUCAUGCCCCUUAUGGCCUGGGCUACACACGUACUACAAUGGCGUAUACAACAAGAUGCAAUACCGUAAGGUGGAGCUAAUCUAUUAAAAUACGUCUCAGUUCGGAUUGAGGUCUGCAACUCGACCUCAUGAAGUUGGAAUCGCUAGUAAUCGCAGAUCAGCAUGCUGCGGUGAAUACGUUCUCGGGGCUUGCACACACCGCCCGUC
rnacentral:rRNA from 1 species